UUUAUGUAAAUCAUCAGUUGCAUAUAUUUAAACACCAGGCAUGAGUCAGUUUAUACAUUCAUCUGAUCACUAGAGGGAGGGAAGAACCGCUUCAGUCCAUUCAAACUGUGAAACACCAUGAUCUCUUCAUCUUUAGUGUUUCUGGCUGUAGUUUCCUGUAUAGAUUCAUAUGAACUCACUCAGCCUGAGUCUCUGACUGUCCGUCCUGAUGCCACUCUCACUAUCAGCUGUAAAGUCUCCUAUUCAGUUACUGGCUCUGCUACAGCCUGGAUUCGUCAGCCGGCAGGAAAAGCUCUGGAAUGGAUUGGAAUAAUCUGGAGUGAUGGAAGCUUAGCCUACAAGGAUUCCCUGAAAAGCCAGUUCAGCAUCACCAGAGACACCUCCAGUAACACAAUAACCCUGCAGGGAAAGAAUAUGAAAGCUCAAGACACAGCUGUGUAUUAUUGUGCCAGUAUGGAGUGGCAUGCUUUUGACUACUGGGGUAAAGGCACACAAGUGACCGUCUCAAGUGCAGCUCCCAAUCCACCAACAGUUUAUAAGAUGUCUCAAUGUGAACCUUCAUCUGAUUCCCUAAUUGUUGGCUGUCUGGCUUCUGGGUUUUCUCCUGCUGAAUCUGUCAGUUUCAAAUGGAUGGAUCAGAGAGGAAAUGCCUUGACUGAUUUCAUCCAGUACCCUACAGUAACAACUGGAGGCAAGAUGUUGAAAGUCAGCCACAUAGCUAUCAAUGAAACGAAAUGGAAUCAAAAUAAUAUUAGCUGUACUGCAGUACACCCAUCGAAAACUGUCAGUGAAACAUUCACAAUAGUGAAACCACAAAAACCAACCCUGACUUUGGUUCCUGUUACAACUCCAAAAAGUACAUCUGUCAUGUGUGUUAUUGAGGAUUUCUACCCCGAGAAGCUCACUGGUCAAUGGAAAGUAAAUAAUGACAGCACGAACCUGAAACUGGAAAGCAAACUAAAUGAAAAAACAGGUCUUUACAAGGCAUACAGUUUUUAUCAAGUCAGCAGUGAGACUUGGAAUGCAAACACUUUAUAUUCCUGUGAGGUCACACAUCGGGGAAAACCGAUUAUUGAGAAGAAGAACUUUAAAGCUAAAUUCACACUGAUGCUGAAGCCACCCAUUGAGAGAGAACUAUUUGUCAAUAAUAAAGUUGUCUUGGAAGCUGUUGUUUCUGGAGAUGUACAAAAUACAGUGGAAGAAGCUUCAGUGUCAUGUACAGUGAAGAAUACACCUGUAAACAGUGAGAACAUCACAAAAGGAAAUGUCUCAACCGACACUCCAAACUUGUGGAUUCUUACCCACUAUGUCACCAUUUAUAACGAGACAUGGUUUAAUGGAGAAAUGGUCACCUGCACCGUCCGUGACACAAAUAAUAACAGAGACAUCAAGGAGAAGAUCCAUUUUGAUAAAGGAGAUGGACAGAAACCCAAAGUUACCAUUUACAAACCUGAAACUAACAUCAAAGUCAGCGACAGUGUCUCUCUGGUGUGUGAGGUCACAAGCCAUAAACUGGGUGAUGUCUAUAUCAUGUGGAAAGUGGACAAUGAGCCUUACAUAGAGGCCAAAACCAGUGCUCCUAUUCAUCAGAAAAACUCCACGUCUGUUCUCAGCAUCCUAACCUUGUCAAAACAAGAGUAUGAAAAAAAGGCCAUCAGCUGUGCAGUCAAACACGCCAACAUGGACGAUAUAGGAUCUCCAUUACAAGUUUCAACCAGCAAAAGGGAGCCACCAGAGCCGGAGAAGGGCUUUGCUCUGAAUUGUAAUAAAGAUGUUCUGGAGGAGGAUGAGUUCAGAAGUCUCUGGUCCACUGCCACUUCCUUCAUCUUCCUAUUCCUCUUUUCUCUGACAUACAGCGCUCUACUUAGUCUUUUCAAGAUGAAGCACUGAUGAAUUUUAUAAAGAACUCCUUAAGACUCCAAGGUUUCUUAUUCUGAUGUUGAAUCUACAUAAUUUGCCUCUAUUCACACAUUUUUAAAGACAUUGACAAAUAUUGUAAGUCUUCAAACUCAUCAAUUAAGUAUCAUUGUUUCUAUGAUACAAGAGACAAGAGACAUUAUCUUGUCAUUUACAGUAGAUGUUACAGGGAUAGGUCCUUCAGAACAUAAAAUGUGUGAGUAUUACUUAUAUAGAUCCAUUCACUGAAAAAAAUGAUGAAAUUGCAAAAUUCAUUUAAUUAUGUUAUAAUGAAAUUUUAAAGUAGAAAGACUGAAAUAGUGUUUUCUUGAAAAAUCAUACUCCAUACUAAUCUUAAUCAAGUUAAUCAAGUUUAAAUCAUGAAUCAAUUUAAUCAUUUAAUCAAAUUAUUUAAUUUGUCAAAAAACUAUUAUGACUUCAGAGGACAAAUGGGUCAUUGUUGACAAAGCUUCAAAAAACUUUUCGAAAAACUGAUGCAAUGCAUAUGUUUGAGUCAUGAGCAACAUGUUUAAACUAAAUCAUUUUUAUGUCAGGUGGUAAAACCAAAUAUAGUUGUACCACCUAAUAGUGUACCAACCCAACCCAUGUACCCAUUCAUGAAAUCAGCAGUUUUACUAGUAUUCUCUGGAUGCUGCAUUAUUAUGUUUACUGUUAUUACCUCAUCAAUUCACAAUCAAAGAGCCACGUUUGCAGUUGUGUCACCCUGACAUAUUAGAAUAAACUAAAUGCUGGACAAAAGUUUUUAAAUUAUCUCAACAGUUUUACAAUAAAUCUACUGAUAUUUAUAAAAUGUGUUUCUAAAGGUUUCAAACCUGAAAUGAUUCCAUAGCAUUUAGUUUUCAGUCAUUUGUCCAUGUGUGCAUUUAAGCCCUCGUGUUUGCCUUGUGUGUUUGAAAAGUAUUGUUUCGUGUAACUGCUGUUAGUAAGCGCCAUGUCUAUGUUCAUGUUUUUGUUUUGAGUUUCAUGCCAUGCCUUGCCUUUGUUUGAUCUUGUUUUUGGAUAUUAAUAAAACUGCACUUUUCUG